rnacentral:rRNA from 1 species
UACAGAGGUCUCGAGCGUUAGGCGGAAUCACUGGGCUUAAAGCGUGUGUAGGCGGGCUGACAAGUCUGGGGUGAAAUGCCGCGGCUCAACCGUGGAACUGCCUUAGAUACUGUCGGCCUCGAGGAAGGUAGGGGCAUGCGGAACUGUAGGUGGAGCGGUGAAAUGCGUUGAUAUCUACAGGAACUCCGGUGGCGAAAGCGGCGUGCUGGACCUUUUCUGACGCUGAGGCGCGAAAGCUAGGGGAGCAAACGGG